rnacentral:tRNA from 2 species
GCCGCAUUAGCUCAGUUGGUCAGAGCGGUCUAAGGUACAGACAGGUCGUAGGUUCGAGUCCUGCAUGUGGCU